rnacentral:tRNA from 1 species
GCGCCCGUAGCUCAAUGGAUAGAGUGCUGGCCUCCGAAGCCAGAGGUUGUGGGUUCGAUCCCCGCCGGGCGCGCCA